rnacentral:rRNA from 1 species
CAGCCGCCGCGGUAAUACGUAGGUGGCAAGCGUUGUCCGGAAUUAUUGGGCGUAAAGGGCUCGCAGGCGGUUUCUUAAGUCUGAUGUGAAAGCCCCCGGCUCAACCGGGGAGGGUCAUUGGAAACUGGGAAACUUGAGUGCAGAAGAGGAGAGUGGAAUUCCACGUGUAGCGGUGAAAUGCGUAGAGAUGUGGAGGAACACCAGUGGCGAAGACGACUCUCUGGUCUGUAACUGACGCUGAGGAGCGAAAGCGUGGGGAGCGAACAGGAUUAGAUACCCGUGUAGUCCCUGUCUCUUAUAC